rnacentral:tRNA from 1 species
GGAUGGUUGGCAGAGCAGACGAAUGCAACGGUUUCGAAAACCGUAUUGGGCGACACCAACGCAGGUGCGAAUCCUGCAUCAUCCG